rnacentral:lncRNA from 1 species
CAAGGUUUAAAAAAAAAUGCAGAGAAAAAUCCAUUCUAGAUUCAAGACCUCUCUUCAAAGUCUAACUAUUCUCUCCCCUUCAAGCCCCUCACAAUGCUCUUCUAAAUGCUUCCCUUUGUCCCAACUUUCUUGUCACCCUGCUGACUUCAAUCCUUGGUUUUUCAGUCUAAAGUGUGCCCCUCAGGGCCCACACUGGCUCCCUGAAAGCGAGAGCAGCUGGGACACAACUGUCCACCCUUGGGUGGGGAGCUCAGUGACCCCAGGAGCAUGAGCCCUGCAGCCAAAGCUCCACAACUCCUCCCAAGAACAGCUCUGACAGGUCACAGGAUAAAACACCGGGCAUCUGUGAGCCAUGUGGGCAUACAUAAGAAUGGCAGAAAUGCCAGAAAAUUAAACCAUACUUAGGAGAAAAAGAAAUCAACUAGAACACAAAAACAAGCAAAAAGAAAAC